AAGAAAUUAGUUUAUAAAAAACAUUAAUUUGUCAAAUUAAAAAUAUUUAGUAAUAUUUCUUU
rnacentral:tRNA from 1 species